rnacentral:rRNA from 1 species
UACGUAGGGAGCAAGCGUUGUCCGGAAUCAUUGGGCGUAAAGCGCGCGUAGGCGGCCUCAUAAGUCCGUUGUGAAAGUCAAAGGCUCAACCUUUGAAAGCCGAUGGAUACUGUGAGGCUAGAGUCCGGAAGAGGCGAGUGGAAUUCCUGGUGUAGCGGUGGAAUGCGCAGAUAUCAGGAGGAACACCAAUGGCGAAGGCAGCUCGCUGGGACGGUACUGACGCUGAGGCGCGAAAGCGUGGGGAGCAAACAGG